rnacentral:rRNA from 1 species
UACGUAGGGGGCAAGCGUUGUCCGGAUUUAUUGGGCGCAAAGAGCGUGUAGGCGGUCAGGUAGGUCCGUUGUGAAAACUCGAGGCUCAACCUCGAGACGCCGAUGGAAACCAUCUGACUAGAGUCCGGAAGAGGAGAGUGGAAUUCCUGGUGUAGCGGUGAAAUGCGCAGAUAUCAGGAGGAACACCAAUGGCGAAGGCAGCUCGCUGGGACGUGACUGACGCUGAGACGCGAAAGCGUGGGGAGCAAACAGG